UACGUAGGGAGCUAGCGUUGUCCGGAAUCAUUGGGCGUAAAGCGCGCGUAGGCGGCCCUGUAAGUCCGUUGUGAAAGUCAAAGGCUCAACCUUUGAAAGCCGAUGGAUACUGCAGGGCUAGAGUCCGGAAGAGGCGAGUGGAAUUCCUGGUGUAGCGGUGGAAUGCGCAGAUAUCAGGAGGAACACCAGUGGCGAAGGCGGUUCUCUGGGCAUUACCUGACGCUGAGGAGCGAAAGUGUGGGGAGCGAACAGG
rnacentral:rRNA from 1 species